UCGCAUACAUUUUAACAUUUUAUCUGUUAUUCCUCUUUUGUAACAGCAUGCGUUUGAUCACCGUUUUCUUACUUCAUCGCUGCCUGAUGAAGAAAUGAAGGAAUGUCACAACUUUACUGACAGAGAAGAAAGCACAACCUGAUAUUGCCAAGUGCAAUGUGUUCCUGGGUCAACAUAUUUUGUUGACCCUGGAACAACAUUUUAAUCCAAAAAUAUAAUCUUAACCAUAUUCCUACACCUAAACCUAACCUUACCCAUGAGUAAUCCCUAAAAUCAGAGGAACUGAUAGAUGAAUUACACUGAUGUACAAGCACCAAACACUGAUUGUAAUCCUAAACUUCACAAAAAUUAUAAACUGGUUCUUGAAAUCUGAUUGGUUAAUCACAAUGUUGUUCCAGGGUCAACAAAGAUGUUGACCCAGGAACACGUUGCACUUGGCAAUAUCAGGUUUGGCGAGGAGAAAACAGUUUUGGCAAAAAUUUGUGCAGAAUUUGAGACGGAGAGAAUUAUGAUGGGACCAUUAGUGUCAGCAGUCUUUGCCAAAAUGGAUCCACACUGCAAAACAUAUGAAGAUGUUUGCAAAUCGAAGAAGAGUCCUUGGACAAGGAAUUAAACCCUCUUGGUGCCCAUUACACAGACUAAUGACAUUGAAGUACCCGAUUGAAGACCCUAGCAGUCUUAUUAUGGAGUAUAUGGAUACAGAUGCUGCCAGCACUCAGGAGGUGAUCCAGAAGACCCAUGGGAAUCUGAUAUGUCAUAAGAUUUGAAGGUGCAGACAAUGAAGACAGCCCAGCAGAUGUUGGAGGGUUGGAAGAUAAAGUUCUUCAGGACCCUAGCAGUAUACCCCAUGCAAAACCAUGUUUCUGGGACUGAUAUAUGGACUGAACUUGAGCAACCCUCCUGACCUCAGGUACACAUUUGGAGUACUGCAGAAGUUAUUUCUGGAGCCAGUUCCUGUUCCUGGAAUAAGGUUUGAUUGGUUGUCUUUAAAUGCCAAUUAGAAAAUGACAGU